GCCCCCGUAGCACAGUGGUAGUGCUCCUGCAUCGUAGGCAGGCUUACGUCUGUUCGAUUCAGACCGUGGGCA
rnacentral:tRNA from 1 species